GCCGCUUCUGGACACUUCAUAUAAAUGGAAUCACAGUACGUGGCCUUUUGUGUCUGGCUUCUUUCACUGAGCAUGUUUUCAAAGUUCAUCCAUGUCUCAGCCUAGGAGCCAAUAUAGUCUCUGGAGAUUCCUCCUGGAUGACGCUGAGUAAACUGUCAGUCUGCUUGGGCUCAGGUUUCUUAGACGUGGGAAGAGUGGCACAUUGUGUGUACGUUUGCCCUUUGCUGAGCCGGUGAGAGAUCAGGUGAGAAGAAUUUGAGGCAGUUGGAGCUCAGGUCUCAGAUCGGCACAGUUGCACUUGGAGAGACUUCUGUGGAACCUUGCCAUCGGUUGGCAGUCGUCUCUGGCUCCUGCAGGAGUGGCCCUGAUUUGGCCAAAGUCAUUUGGAUUCUUCAAAUACAGCUUGGAGGAGUGGAAAGAGGAUGAGCUGUGAACUGGAUACUUGAUUUAAACCUUUAUUUGGUGCAUGGCUGUUGGCAGGCCGCUCACCCUCUCUGAGCCUCAUUCUCUUUAUUUGUUGAUGAGGAUGACAACUACUUACAAGAUUACUGAGAGCAUCAGAGAAUGAACACCAAGUGCCUGGAGAGAGAAGACAGUCAAUAAAAGGGACAGACGUGGGCUCAUUGCAUGAGAUGUGUGGACUCUGACUCCCUGCUGAGUGAAGCUCCCUCCGGGCCACCCUGCGGCUCCCUGGCUGUGACCACGGCUUCUGAGCGAACCUCCUAGACGCAUCUUUGCUUGCUCACUGCUGGGAGGACCAUGUAGAGCUGUACCUUACGCAGUUCUACCAAUCUUAAUCAUUUUGUUAAUAAGAUCUUUGAAAUUAUAUUGGGGUACCAUAUUUUUCUCAUUCUGUUGUUUUCCCUUUAAUAUAUAUUUUGUAGAAUUUUGUUGGACAAAGACUUAUUUAUUCAGACCCAUCUAUCUUGUCUGAUGACAGGCUCCAUUUUUAAAGAGCCAGAAAUUUAUCUUUGCUCCACAGCUAGAAUAGAUACGCAGGUCUGUUUUCUUCUUUUUUAUACUUUCUGUGUUUUGCUUCCUAAUGUAUUGGAGAUGUCUCGCCAUACAUGGUAAGAGAUACAGAACUACAUACAUAGGACAAAUGCCUGCUCAGUAAAUAAAUCCAAGACGGAAAUGCUGCUUCCAUUUUAUACAUGGGAAAUAGAAGCCAAGAGAAUUAAAACCUGUGUCCUGAAGUGGCGUGGGAGGGCUGAGCUUGGUUUUAACUCCACUGCUCUUGCCUCUGACGGGAGGGGGCACGUUGUACCCUCACUACUUAUAAAGGAACCCCUCCCAGGGCCGUGCUGAGAUUACAGAGUGUGGAUGCUGUUUAGGCUUCAUUCCUCUGCCUUCUUUGUCUCUUUCCUGUUUCCUUUAAAGUUCAACAUGUAGCAAUUUUUAAAGUCAACAGAGAAAUAAAGCUGGCAGGGGCCUCACAAGUUCAUUCUUUUACUAGGCAAACACUGGCUGCACGAGGUCUGGUGCCAGGGCCUCAGUACAGAAGGAGAGACAGCACCCAGCCCUGACCAGAUCUAGGGAGGGAAAUAGACGUACAGCAAAUAUAAGGUGAUGUGAAAAGCCCAGGGAAGAGACUCAUCCAGGGACUAGGGCUGG